rnacentral:rRNA from 1 species
CCUACGGGUGGCAGCAGUGGGGAAUCUUGGACAAUGGGCGAGAGCCUGAACGAGCAACGUCGCGUGAAGGAUGAAUGCCCUACGAGCUGUAAACUUCUUUUAUAAAGGAAUAAAGUGAUGAACGUAUGCCUUUUUGUAUGUACUUUAUGUAUAAGGAUCGGCUAACUCAGUGCCAGCAGCCGCGGUAAUACGGAGGAUUCGAGCGUUAUCCGGAUUUAUUGGGUUUAAAGGGAACGUAGAUGGGUGUUUAAGUUAGUUGUGAAAGUUUGCGGCUCAACCGUAAAAUUGCACUUGAUACUGGCAGCCUUGAGUACAGUUGAGGUGGGCGGAAGUCGUGGUGUAGCGGUGAAAUGCUUAGAUAUCACGAAGAACUCCGAUUGCGAAGGCAGCCUACUAAUCUGCCACUGACAUUGAUGCUCGAAAGUGUGGGUAGCAAACAGGAUUAGAUACCCCUGUAGUC